UUUAGAGUAUUUUUGAGGGUUGUUAUAACAAUAUAUUUGUUAUAACCCGACACAAGUUCACUUUUCAUCUCGCUCUAGGGUUUCAGUGUCUUCUCCAAGCUUCCAAUCUCAAUCUCCUACAACUUCAAUCGUAUUUCUGUCUCUCCUCCAUCCCUAAAUCACAUCACUCAAGAUCUCAAAUCUUCAUCAACAAGCUUUCAUGAUGCAGGUUCACGUUCAAGAAUAUAACAACAGUACCAGGGUUCAGUCUUCCGGUGGUCGACAUUGAUGAAUACAAGGUGCAUGGUGAAGUUGAAGCUGAUCUCCCCAGAACGUCGUCAUUAUCACAACAAAGCUGCAAUAUGAUGAAUAAUCAUUUGUUUCUUGAGAUUAAGAUGAUAGCUAUCAAAUGAUUAUUUAAUGUCAAAUUUCUAUUUGAAUUGGCUUCUGUCAUGAAUCAAAUUAGUUUAGAUAUGAGGAGUUUUUGCUGACAAAUUGAUACUUUUUAGUUACUCUAAAUCACAAUCGUAGGAACAAGCAUGUUUCUUCUGCAAAUGAAUGUCAUCCACACCAAGCAAAUUGAAGUGAGUCGAUGCGGUUUUUGGAGCCGAGCGACUAUUUCGACAACAACAGUAAGUGAUGACAACAACGUCAUGGCCCUAUUAGGAUUCCGUUAAGGUAGAGACCCAGUUCAAGUUUCAAGAAUGGAUGCAUUUGAAGAUAACUUUCAGUCAUUGCUAAUCCGGAAUCUAAAGGAAAAAGAAUUACUUUUGGGAGGUAUGUAAAGUAAGGAGAAAGCAAAGUUAUGCGUUGACAGUACGGCGUGAAUUCAUACAUGCGAAUGAUUUCAUGGAAGGUCCAAAAAGCAACAACAGCGUCACACUAGAGCUCCAUGAUUCUUGCAUGAGUUCCGGUUGCAAAAAUUGUUGACCGCCAUAAAGGUCAUCGACAAGAGCGCAAUUGAAUUGGUGGUGACUAUUGCUGAACAACGGGAGUUUGAUUACUUUGCUUGGCUGUUCAAUGGCCGCCAAUUACUGCUCGAAAGCGACUAAAUGUUAUCAAAGCGUUUGCUGCCGAGGGUAAUUGAUUGAUUAUUCAUUGUUGUUUGACUUUUUUUGUUUUUGAACAAAAUUUGAUAUAGGUAACGAGUGAUUUGGUGUUUUGGAUAGUUGUUGAAGUAGUUGACUGUUUGAUUUGGUUGGGCAUAUUAGAUGCUAUAUGGUUUGUUUGUUGUUGUAAAGAUUGGGAUAUUGUAUUUGAUAUUUGAAAGAUGUUAUUAAUUAUGGAGUUAUUGUAGAUUAAUCUUGAUGGGUAUGAGUUAAAGUUGGAUAAUUUGAUACGUGUCACUGAGUCAGAACUGAUUGCAAAACAGGUCAAUAAAUGGGUCUGUAGGAAGUUUAUUUAUUUAGUCACAUGUUAUAUGAGUUACUUUUGUUUAUGUAAGUAGU
rnacentral:lncRNA from 1 species